UACAGAGGUGCCAAGCGUUAGGCGGAAUCACUGGGCUUAAAGCGCGUGUAGGUGGACGGUAAGUAUCUUGUGAAUCCCACGGCUCAACCGUGGAACUGCUGGAUAUACUGCUGUCUUGAGGCACUUAGGCGAGCUGACAAUGUGAGCGUGAAUGCGUAGAUAUCAUUGACGCCAGCGAAGCAGCUGCUGAGUGAUCUGACACUGAGACGCG
rnacentral:rRNA from 1 species